rnacentral:lncRNA from 1 species
UACAAGGGUCGCAGACAUUCAGAUCAUGGCAGGACUGUCAUAGAUGUUACUUUGUGAAGACACAAAGAACAAUGUGAUUGGAGAGAUCAGUCUUCAAUUAGCUGUAUUUUCUAGGAGGCUACCUUUACUUAGCCUCGCAACAUGGGCCGUUGCUUUGGCACUAAAUCUGCACAAACACCUGGCUUAAGUGUUAUGACAGACUGACUAUUCAACCAAACCAUACAAAUGACCAUUUCCGUACGAAAGCGUGAACUUCAGUGUUGAACUGAAUCAACCAACCUCCUCAAUCCAAAUGGAGAUGCCUGUGGAAGAGGAUGGGCCAGGGUCAGCUUUCACCUUCAUAUCCUAAAGGCUGUCUCUUCCUCUGCUGCCCUACCCAGAUUCCCAUUGCUUCUUGUGUAAUUGACUCCUUUACAUGAUUCUUCACGUAGACCCACUAUUUCAGCUUCUCUGACCCAAAGAGGAUCUUGGAAGAAUUCUGUUUCUGUCCAUGAAUCCCCAGUUUUUCUUUAUCAACCACCAAAACCAAGAUAUACCAACCCCAAAUGUCAAGGUGACCGAACUCUGCAUUUUGAUUUCUAAAUGGGCAGAUGGAUGUACUGCAAUGAGAACACAAAGAAGCAGGUUUAUAACUCGGUACAUUAUGGCACCAGGUUCAACGCAAAAGGAAGCAGCAAUUCCGCGAGGAUAACAAAGGAAGCUGAGGAAGUCUGUUCUGGAGGCACCAUGACAAAGCACCAGACAGAAAGCAGUCACGUGUGGGGAGAUGAGCAGAGACACCACCUCUCAAGCACCUGA